UAAUCUAUUUAAGAUAAAUCCUCAUCUAAUUAGAACAUAUCCAUACAUAAUUGUUUAGAAUCACUUGUUAUCGCAGCUUUUUUAUUUUAUAUGUUUGUCACAUGUCAAAACAAUGAAAUAUGAGUACAGUAUAGCAUAGUAA
rfam:Populus trichocarpa scaffold_6_contig_424, whole genome shotgun sequence.